rnacentral:piRNA from 1 species
UAUCAUAUUAGAUGUCACGUA